CUACGGGUUGCUCCAGUGGGGGAUAUUGCACAAUGGGGGGAACCCUGAUGCAGCGACGCCGCGUGAGCGAAGAAGUGCUUCGGCAUGUAAAGCUCUAUCAGUAGGGAAGAAAAUGACGGUACCUGACUAAGAAGCCCCGGCUAACUACGUGCCAGCAGCCGCGGUAAUACGUAGGGGGCAAGCGUUAUCCGGAUUUACUGGGUGUAAAGGGAGCGUAGACGGCAUCGCAAGUCUGAUGUGAAAACCCGCGGCUCAACCACGGGAUUGCAUUGGAAACUGCGGAGCUUGAGUACUGGAGGGGCAGGCGGAAUUCCUGGUGUAGCGGUGGAAUGCGUAGAUAUCAGGAGGAACACCGGUGGCGAAGGCGGCCUGCUGGACAGUGACUGACGUUGAGGCUCGAAAGCGUGGGGAGCAAACAGGAUUAGAUACCCGUGUAGUC
rnacentral:rRNA from 1 species